rnacentral:tRNA from 1 species
GGUUCCAUGGUGUAGUGGUUAGCACUCCAGACUUUGAAUCUGGCGACCUGGGUUCGAAUCCCCGGGGGGACCU